rnacentral:rRNA from 1 species
AUGAGAGGGGAAAUUAAAGGACUGAAAACAUUGAUCAUGAAAGAGUCACCUUCUGCCUAUUAUAUUCAUUGUUUUGCACAUCAACUCCAGCUAGUUCUUGUUGCUGUUGCCAAGGGAAAUGAUGAUUGUGUGUGGUUUUUUGAUCGAGUGUCUUUAUUACUGAAUGUUAUUGGAGUGUCUUGUAAGCGUCAUGACAUGCUUCGAUAUGCUAGACUUCACAAUAUCAUGAAACUACUUGAAUGUGGUGAGUUACAAACUGGGAGUGGUUUGAAUCAAGAGAUGGGGUUACCUAGGCCCGGUGAUACUCGGUGGGGCUCUCAUUACAAAACUGUUCUCAACAUUAUUGCUAUGUAUCCCACAAUCCGUGAUGUGCUCAUAACUCUUGGACAAGAUGCUUCACAAAGAAGUGAUUGGCCCAAAAUUCAUACUAUUGUUGGAGUGUUUGAGUCAUUUGACUUUAUUUUCAAUGCACACUUGAUGCUUGUCAUUCUUGGAUACACAAGUGAUUUGUCUGAUUGUUUGCAAAUAAGAGACCAAGAUAUUCUUACUGCAAUGGCACUUGUUAGAACUGCAAAAAGUAGAAUACAAGAACUUAGGUCUAAUGGGUGGGAGGCAUUUCUGCAAAAGGUCACACUAUUUUGUAACAAGCAUGGCAUUCAAGUUCCUAUAAUGGAAGAUAAUUAUGUGCCUUAUGGAAGAUCAACACGGUUUGCUCGACCCCAAACAAAUGAUGAUCACUUUAGAAGAUAAGUUUUUCUUGGAGUCAUUGAUCAAAUUAGUCAAGAGCUUGGAAAUCGGUUUGAUGAGAUCAAUAUGGAAUUGCUAUCUUGUAUGUCUGCUUUGAAUCCCGCCAACUCAUUUGCUGCUUUUGAUGCACAAAAGGUAUGCAAACUUGCUUCUAAAAUUUGUAUUGCUUUCAAAAUUUCUAUUGAAUCUCUUCAACUCAUUUGUUUCUUUUGA